CCUACGGGAGGCUGCAGUGGGGAAUAUUGGACAAUGGGCGAAAGCCUGAUCCAGCCAUGCCGCGUGUGUGAAGAAGGCCUUCGGGUUGUAAAGCACUUUCAGUGGGGAAGAAAGCCUUGGGGCUAAUACCCUCGAGGAAGGACAUCACCCACAGAAGAAGCACCGGCUAACUCCGUGCCAGCAGCCGCGGUAAUACGGAGGGUGCGAGCGUUAAUCGGAAUUACUGGGCGUAAAGCGCGCGUAGGCGGUCUGAUAAGCCGGUUGUGAAAGCCCCGGGCUCAACCUGGGAACGGCAUCCGGAACUGUCAGGCUAGAGUGCAGGAGAGGAAGGUAGAAUUCCCGGUGUAGCGGUGAAAUGCGUAGAGAUCGGGAGGAAUACCAGUGGCGAAGGCGGCCUUCUGGACUGACACUGACGCUGAGGUGCGAAAGCGUGGGUAGCGAACAGGAUUAGAUACCCCUGUAGUC
rnacentral:rRNA from 1 species